AGGAGAAAAUGGACAGGCGUUUCUAUAUUAUGUGCUACGAAUGAAUCCUAUUUUAGUGCUUUUCACUGUGGGGUUUAUACCACACAAAAAAUACAUGUAGGACAUUUUUAUUUUGGCAGCUUUCACAAAAAUUGUGGUGAUGGUUGCCUAUGAACAUUUCCUUACACAUUAUUAGAGAAUAGAUUCCAGAAACUUCCUGGAAAUAAUUACUCCAAGUUUAACAUUGCUUUGAUUUAAAAUGCAGUUUUGUAUAGUUUUAAAAUGCAAAUUUUAGAAUAUGGGACCUCGGCUAAAAUUUCAUUCUGGAAGUCUUAUUUAAUGGAUGUAGAUACCAAUACCAUAAAACUUGCUAAAUCUAUGUGUGUCAACACUGAUUUAAGUGAAGUAGGAGAAAUGUGACCCAACUAAGAUAUUAUGAGACAAAAAUAAACUAUACAGAACUGUUUGGCUGCUUGAUACUAACAUAACUAGUUAGAAAAUAAUGAUGUUUGCUAUUCUUUAUUAGCUUAUUUCACCUUUAUUUUAAAUCAUUUAAUAUUUUUUCUUGAUAGAUUAUUCAAAAUUGACAUUUAAAGAGUAUUAAAGAAACAGUAUCCUUUUAUAUUUUUCCUUCUCAUACAUAACCAUAGUCCUGGUUUUCCUUAAUAUGUGAUCCAGAAUAUAAUUUGCAAUUUAUGCUUCGAUAUAUUUUCAGCUUUUUGCUUAGAUUGUGCCUGAUAUAUUUCAUUAUUUUAAGAAAUGUAUCAAGAUCAGGAGUUCUUUUAAAGUUAGGAACAAUAACAAAAACAACAUGCUAACUUGUAAACCCAAUGGACAUGAAAAUAAUACUCUAAAAAGCAAAUGUUAUGUGUGCCUUUAAAAGUAUAAAACAAUCAUUCUGGAUCGAUAAACUGCUACUUUGAGUCAAAUUGGACUUAAAGUUUUUUUCUUCUGAUACUACCCCAAAGAAGGCUCUAUUCACCUCGCUUUAAAUUAUACAAACAAAUAACACAAAUGGACAGUUAAAGUGAAUAUUUUAUGCUUUAAAGAAGACUAAUAUUUUAUGCUAUAAAGGCAUGAUCCAAAAGAGAAGUAAUAAAAUCAUCUCUUCCCUUACCUCUAGGAUUUCUAGGCUGGUCGAACCCUGACCAUUACUAGUAGUGUUUCAAGUUUCUUCCAUUUACUUUCAUUAUACUGGGUUAUUUGUAUCUUCGAGUGAAAUGGCUGAGCUUUCCCUCUAAUUCCUGUUGCUAUUGACAACCAAAGCAGC
rnacentral:lncRNA from 1 species